GAAAAAUGAACGUGCUGUAACUGAGGGGAGCAGCCCUUUAGUUACCCUUUGGACGCUGCUCAGACUAUACACAGUAUAGUCACACUAUUCAUUCUGACUAUAUACAGUAAUAUCUCUGCAAGAUCGCAGAUGUGUUUCAGCGAUGCCCACAGAGCUGUUAUGUCUGUGGAAUCUAUGAAGAUUGUUGAGUUUCCAAUCUGGCCCCUUUCUCUUGUUGUUGUAGAAUGUGGCAAGAACCCCAAAGGGCAAAGUACAGUAGACACCUUUUCAUAAUUAGCUUCACUAAAAGCGAUUUUCACACAUUCAAGCACAUCUGUUUCUGUGAAUUUGAUCUAUUUUUCUUUCCUGCACCUUGUCCAGGUUGAGCGUUGGACCUCCUGCAGAAAAGGCACAUCAUAAAAAUGGGACAAAAUCAAACCCUGUCUGACCCUUAGUUUGUCUAUAAUAUGUUACCAUUUCACACAAGAUCUCAGAUGUUCUUGGAUUCUUGGAUCUUGCAGUCAGAAGUGCACCGUUCAUCACCACCACGGCUGCCUUCACUCCCCAGGUUGUCAUCUUCUUUCCUCCUUACUUGGUUCCCACAGACAUCAUCACUGUCGCCUACUGAUGUUUAACCACUCUACCUGACACCAUUUUAUCUCUGGAUCUGAUGUUUAUGUCUUAGAUUUAUGAGAAACAAUGAUAUGAUAUCACCUGAUAAUUUCUUUGGAGGCAUGACAGACAGCUUUGCAAUAAAAGGUAACGAUAAUGGGCAUCAUUAACUUGGAUAUAAUUCAUUAUAUAUGUUUAGAAUAUCAGUUAUGCUCCUAAUCUCAAGUCUGUGCCACCAAUUGGACUGAAAAAUAUAACACUGUUCAUGUUGUUCUGCAGUGACACUUUAAUAUCAGUUAAAGAUUGUAUCUGAUUCAUGAUCCAGCUUAGGCACUUUUAAAAUGGGCUUUAAAGAAAUGUCUGUGUAAAUUCUCAGUCAUCCAGGUCAUUGUAUCCAAGGUAGUUUUCUCUGUCAACUGGACUGGGUUUCUUCUCUUGAAGACGUUUCGCCUUCUAUCCAGAAGGCUUCUUCAGUUCUGAAAUCGCUGGGGAGAGAGCUUGAAAAUAUAUAGCCCCUGUGGACCAUUUGCAUGCUAAUGAUCUGGGUGGUCACCUGAGAGUCGUUAGCAGGGUCGUUGGUCGGGUCG
rnacentral:lncRNA from 1 species